AACUUAAGCCCCAGUAAACGGCGGCCGUAACUAUAACGGUCCUAAGGUAGCGAAAUUCCUUGUCGGGUAAGUUCCGACCCGCACGAAAGGCGUAACGAUUUGGGCACUGUCUCAACAACAGACUCGGUGAAAUUGUAAUUCCGGUGAAGAUGCCGGAUACCUGCGACAGGACGGAAAGACCCCAUGGAGCUUUACUGUAGCUUGACAUUGGGUCUUGGUACUACAUGUACAGGAUAGGUGGGAGGCUUUGAAACCAGGACGCCAGUUUUGGCGGAGCCAUCCUUGGGAUACCACCCUUGUAGUACUGGGACUCUAACCAUAGGCCAUGAAUCUGGUCUUGGGACACUGUCAGGUGGGCAGUUUGACUGGGGCGGUCGCCUCCCAAAAGGUAACGGAGGCGCUCAAAGGUUCUCUCAGUACGGUCGGAAAUCGUACGUAGAGUGUAAAGGCAAAAGAGAGCUUGAUUGCAAGACAUACAGGUCGAGCAAGGAUGAAAAUCGGACUUAGUGAUCCGGUGGUUCUGCGUGGAAGGGCCAUCGCUCAACGGAUAAAAGCUACCCUGGGGAUAACAGGCUUAUCUCCCCCAAGAGUCCACAUCGACGGGGAGGUUUGGCACCUCGAUGUCGGCUCAUCACAUCCUGGGGCUGUAGUAGGUCCCAAGGGUUGGGCUGUUCGCCCAUUAAAGUGGUACGCGAGCUGGGUUCAGAACGUCGUGAGACAGUUCGGUCCCUAUCCGUCGCAGGCGUAGGAAAUUUGAGAAGACCUGUCCUUAGUACGAGAGGACCGGGAUGGACG
rnacentral:rRNA from 1 species